rnacentral:rRNA from 1 species
GGGGAAUAUUGGACAAUGGGCGAAAGCCUGAUCCAGCUAUGCCGCGUGUGUGAAGAAGGUCUUCGGAUUGUAAAGCACUUUCGGCGGGGACGAUGAUGACGGUACCCGCAGAAGAAGCCCCGGCUAACUUCGUGCCAGCAGCCGCGGUAAUACGAAGGGGGCUAGCGUUGCUCGGAAUGACUGGGCGUAAAGGGCGCGUAGGCGGCUUGCACAGCCAGAUGUGAAAUUCCUGGGCUUAACCUGGGGGCUGCAUUUGAUACGUGUGGGCUAGAGUGUGAAAGAGGGUCGUGGAAUUCCCAGUGUAGAGGUGAAAUUCGUAGAUAUUGGGAAGAACACCGGUGGCGAAGGCGGCAACCUGGUCCAUUACUGACGCUGAGGCGCGAAAGCGUGGGGAGCAAA